GCCCAAGAAACCCAGACCAGCUGCUGCCCCGAAGCUGGAGGACAAGUCGGCCUCUCCCGGCCUGCCGAAGGGAGAAAAAGAACAGCAAGAAGCAAUUGAACAUAUUGAUGAAGAACAAAAUGAAACAGACAGACUUAAUGAACAAGACAGUGAGGAAAAUUUGAAAGUAGAACAAAAAUAUAACAAACUCUGCCAACCAUUUUUUCAGAAGAGUACUAUCUGGUUCCCGACAUGGAUGAUGAAGAAGGAGAGGCAGAAGAUGAUGAUGACGACGAGGAUGAGGAGGAGGGGUUGGAAGAUAUUGAUGAAGAAGGAGAUGAGGAUGAAGGUGAAGAAGAUGAUGAUGAGAUGAAGGGGAGGAAGGAGAGGAGGACGAAGGUGAGGAUGAUUAGCACAGAAGACUGACAGAUUCCAACCUUCUUUUUUUAUUUUCUUUUUAUUUUUUAAUUUUCUCCAGUCCCUGGGAGCAAGUUGCAGUCCUUUCCUCCCUGUCCCUCUGUGCUCAGUCACCCUGUUUUGAGGUCUCAACAUCAU
rnacentral:lncRNA from 1 species